rnacentral:sRNA from 1 species
GAAUGCAUGUAUUCACACUGCUUAAAGGGACAUAGGCACGAUUUGAGAUAAACACUUAAGUCUUUAUUUUUCAUUUUUACGUUAUAAAAUGGUUUACUUAUGUAUUUUGAAUGAUUCAUCAUAAUUUGAAUGUUGAAGUCACGUUAAAAGCAGAAUACAGUGGAAAGAAGUCACUGAUAUGUAAAUAAAGCCCAAGUUUUAUAUUUGUUUACAAAUAUUAAGUAAAGAAAUUACUAAUUCUUUGAUAAAAUAGCUUGUGGCAAACAGGAUAAACUGAUUCAACAUGUUCAUAACUAACUUUAUCAACAACAAAAAGCAACAUUAUGAGAAUUCUUCCAAUGCAUGUAUAUAUAAACAAUAACAGGACUUAAGCUUUGAAAUUUAAGCUUUUAAAUACAUUCUUUUGCAAAAAAUGCGCUCAAAUCUAGUACAAGUCCCUUUUAAAGCACGUUGUACCAUAUCCAUGUUUCAUUGGAAUGAAACAGAAUGGUCGACUACGACAAAAAGUGACUUUGCAUACUUUCUGCAUAUUCGCAGUUUGAAAAAAUAACCUGUUGAGAUUUCAACGAUCAUUAUAUCUGAAAGUUUUCUUUGUUGUUGUAUUUAAUAAUUGUACAUAUUUAUAUUAUGUUAAAUAAAAAAUUCAAUU